ensembl:lncRNA
AUGAAAAAGAUAAAUCUGCAUAUAAAAAAGGUAGUAAUAAUAAAAAAGGUAGUAAUAAUAAAAAAGGUAGUAGUAAUAAAAAAGGUAGUAGUAAUAAAAAAGGUAGUAGUAAUAAANNNNNNNNNNAGUAGUAGUAGUAGUAGUAGUAGUAGUAGUGAUGAUCUUAAGGUACCGAGUGAAACUGCAAAACAAAAUGAAGUAUGCUUAAAUAUAGACGAACUGAAAGAAAAGUUUUUACUUGUGUUCGAAUCAGAUAGUAUAUUAAUUGAUUACAUAAAAAAUAUUUUAAUAUAUAGACUUGACUUUGAAAACGAUAUAAUAAAUAUUAAAAAAGAUUAUAUAGAUACACAAAAAUUGGCUAAGAGUAAAAAUAUAAACGAUUUUAAAGAUAUGAAUGAUGAAAAAAGAGAAGAUAAUAUAAAUGAAAAUAUGAAUAAAAAUACAAAAUAUAUGUUACAAUCUGAUUCAGAUACAUUAUCAGAUAAUUCUGAAAGUGAAGAUGACAAAAGUAAUUAUAAAAUGGGUAGGAAAUUACGACAUAAUAAUUAUAUUGAUUAUAAAAAUUCAGAUAUGAAAUAUAAAUUUGUAAAUACACAAGGGAAAUUUUCAUUUGUUAUGAGACAAAAUUAUAUCCCACCACUUAUAACAAAAAAAAGAAUAGAUGGAAAAAAAAAAAAAAAUCCAAAAAAAAAUGAUGGUAUGGAUAAUGAAUAUCAAUAUUAUACUGAAAAUGAUGCAAUACGUUACGAAAAUAUAAUUAACGACCUAAACAUUUACCAAUUUGAUGAAUAUGGAAAGGAAAAGAAAAUAUACAAAUCAAAUAUAGAUUUAUUUAAAUACAAAAAUGAGAAAUGUAUACCUAAGUAUGCACUUGUGAAUGAUACAGAAGGAAAUGAACUUAUAAUUUUAGAUGAAAAAAAUGAUAAAAAUUUAUUUAUGGUUGAUGUAAAUCAUGAAAAGAUUAUACAAAAAUGGAAUACAGAAUAUAUACCAAUAAAAAAGUUAUUAAAAAAAGAAGAAAAUUUAUAUUGUGGGUAUAAUAAAAAUAACUUAUAUUAUGUAGAUACAAGAAUGAAAGAUUGUGUACAGAAUUUAUUAGUAUAUAGUAAAAAUUCUUCCGAUGUUGAAUAUGCAAGUAUGGAUGAAAAUGGUCAAAUAAUUUUAACAAAUAAGCAAGGAGAAUUAAAAUAUUAUGAUGGAAAAUUAAAUAAUGCUAAUAUUAUUAAAAAAAGUAAAAAUGUUAUUUUUUGUGCUAAUGAUAUUGUUCAUUUGACUUUAACACAUGAUGGAAAUUACUCAAUUGUAACAUGUGAAAAAAGUGUUAUUUUAUGUAAUAAUUUUCUUGACGAUGGAAACAAUUUUUUUAAAAAGUGUAUAAAAAAAGAAGAUCGAACAAAACAGAAAAAAAUUCUUUUACAAAUACAUUAUAUUGAUGUAUUUACUUAUAAUUUGGGAAAUUUUGUAUUUAUUAAAAGUGUUUCUAAUUAUGACAAUACAUUUAUAAUUACUUUUUCACAAAAAUUUUAUGUCGUAUGGAAUUUUAAAGAGGCAUUAAAUGAUCAAAUAUCUUAUGUUAUUAAAAAAGUCGAUAGUAAUAUAUCAGACAUUACUUCUUUUAACGUUAACCAAAUGCAGGGGAUAAUUAUGGCGACAGAAAAUUCGUUGAAAUCGAAAAAAAUUAAAAAUUUAUAA